AUAAAGGUGGAUGUCCGAAGUUCGAAUCUCGGCACUUAUUAAGCAACCAAAUAUAGAUAAUUAUCAUGGAACUUGGGUAGGCAAUAUCUUAAAAAUAUAUACAAAAAAAAUAUUUUUGAAAGUUAUAAAAAAUUAACUUAAAAAAGUUAUAAUAAAUAUAAAAUUUAUUUUUUUAUUUUCUAAAAAUAAAUACUCGUAGUUUCUCAUAUGAGUAUUAAAAAGUUGACCGGUAGUAGAAGUGAGACAGGGAAGUACUGUUUGUUGACAACUUUUUUUCAUCACUCGUGUCAUGUUAUCAUUGGUUCCAAAUUAACGGGAGUUUAUUUUCAAUAAAAAAGUAAGCUGACAUAUUGUACCUUUGUUUUGUACGAAAGAUCCAAGUAUGAGUCUAGUUAUACUAUACUAGGGAUGUUGAUUGCAUGUUGUCAAAAACUCACACAGUUUGGUGCCGUAAAGUCCAAAAAUCUUAACUCAAUUAAUAAAAAUAUCUAAAUUGUUAGGUCGGACACGGAUCCGGAUCCUUUCCUGUCUUUCCUCUCCAGUUUUAUGUUCUGUGUAGAUUUGAACUGUCCAUCAAUGAUACUAUAGUAUUGACCGUUAAUAUUUAAUAAAAAUCAAUGGUUGAGAUCAAAUAGGACCAUUCAGUGAAUGGAGAGGAUCCAAACACCACGACUAAAGUGGUUUCUGCACUAUGUGCGUGUGAGUUUACAAUGACUUGUCGAUAAAAAAAAAUAUUGCCAUAAAAAUGUAGGGUAGAUUGACCAAAAACAAUAAAGAGGUAGAGACGUAGAGCAGAACAAAUAAUUUAAUGAAAACGAAUAUACUAACACAAGGAAGAUACCAUGAUUUUAAUGUUUAUAAGCUUUCUUUGAAUUUUUUCAGGUGGUCCAUGAUAGCUAGCCACUUGCCAGGAAGAACCGACAAUGAAAUUAAAAACCAUUGGAAUUCUCACCUAAGCAGAAAAAUUUACAGUUUCUCCAAAAUAUCCAACACUACGGAGCCAAAGAUUAUAGAUAUUCCUCCUCCUAAGCGUAAAUGUGGCAGAACAAGUCGUUGGGCAAUGAAGAAAAACAAAAACUACAAAAAACAAAUCGUCACUAAUACUAACAAAACCGUCACUAAUAUUGAAGAUACUGUCACUAUUGAAACUGAAGUUCAAAUUCCACGGACACCGUCACUAGAAAAUGAGGUUGAGGUGGUAAAAACAACAUAUGAAGAAGAGAAAGAAGACACUUGUGAUUAUGAAUCAUGUGACGACAUCAUAGUACUGAGUGAAUUAUUAGAUAGCAUUAAUGAAGAUAGUGGGAUGGAAAAUUGUUUGGUGAAAACAUGUGGUACUGUUUCAAAUUUAAGUGAAGAGAGAGAAAUGGUGGGUGAUAUGGUUAUGGGUGAAGAGAAUGAUGUUGAUGUGUGUCUUAAAAAUCAUAAAUUGGAUUCAUGUGAUAGUAGUGUGAAUAAUUACCAAAGCAGCUCUAACAAUGGGGAAAUUAGUGAUGAAUGGUCCUCAAUGGGAUUAAAUUUUGAUCAUGAUGAUAAAUGGAAUUGGGAAAGUGUGAUGGAGUUUAAUAUUUUUGAUGAUGAUAAUGAUGAUAGUUUUAGGGAGCAUAAAGAAAAGAUUUUGAAAUUGUUGUAUGAAGAUGAUGAUAAUAAGAUGUUGGGAGAGAUUGAUCCUCAGAAACAAAAUGAUUUGAUUGCUUGGUUUCUAUCUUGAAUAAAGAAUGCAUGCAUGUAUGUGUUCUGUUUUUGUGUGUUGAGAAUUUUUCUUUUGUAUGGGUUUUAGUGUGUAGUUUUUUUUCUUAGUGAUGAUUUAGUGUGUACAUCCUCCCUCCCUUCAUUAUUAUAAAUAAAAUUUAUUUUUUAAAUCAUUAAAUAGUUGAUGUAUUUAACAUGGAUCAUAUACAUGCGUGGAUUAAGAUAAGAAGAAAAAAAUUAAGAAAAAAAAAAAGAUAAGUUAUAAGCUAUAAAUUAUAAAUUAUUUGAAGUGGCUUAUAAAAAAAUAUUAUAGACUAAUUAGAAAAUGGAGAUUUUUUAGGGUUUUUUCUAAUCCACUUUAUAAUUUGAGUAUAUUUACCCAUCAACACAUGACAAUAAGUCACAUGCAAAUCCAAAAAUUUGUUACAAAUUAGUUGUGGGUACCACAAGCAAAUUCACUUAUGUGAAUUGUUUUCAUUGGUUGAUAAUGUAAGUUAGGGAUGACAAUGGGUAGAGUAUGGAUAUGGUAUUAUAGUACUCAUCUCCAUACCCACAGUUUGAAAAAAUAUCCGUACUCAUCCUCAUAUCCGUGUGGGUAACAAUCUUUGUACACGUUAUCAUACUCUAUGGGUACCUAAGUACUCAUACUCGUAUCUGUUACCCGCAUUUUUGCUAAAAAUAAAUCGAUCAAUUAUAAAAUAUCAUAUCAUUUUAAUAUAAUUAAUUUUUAAAAAAAAAAAUUAAUGUUGACUCAUGAAAAUUGUAAUAAAUUUUUUUAUUAACCUCGUGUUAAAGUUCACUUCUUUGUUGACAUAUUCACACUGUGUUUAUAUUAUGUUAUAAAUAAAUAUUUUUAUUAAGAAUGUGUAAUAGUUUAAUAGUGUUACAUUUUUUAAAAUUGAUAUAAAUAUGUUAUUAUAUAGGUAUGGGACGGGGUGGGUACUAAGGUACCCGUACCCGCACUCAUACCCAUUCAUUUUUACGGGUAAUACCCAUACUCGUGCCCGUACACAAAAUGCGGAUUUUUACCCUACCCGUUGUGAGUAUAUUUUGUGAGUGCUCAUUGGGUAUGAGUCAAAUUAUCAUCCCUACUGUAUGUAAAUAGCCGUAAGUUACUGAAAGAGUAGAGUAUGUCUCACCUUUCUGUAGUCAUAUACUUUUUUUUUUGACAAUAACAAAAUGAUAUUCAUUCAUUCAAAUUGAUAGAUUACAUCAAAUACAAUCACAUAAUCAACAUCGCUAAAAACGUAAAGGAUGAAUCUGCGAACAAAACUCACAGCAUCCGAGUUAAUAGCAUACAACGGCAAAAUGCCUACAACAAAUAAUAUGAUAAAGUUAAAAUCACCGAAGUAUCCAUGCCUNNNNNNNNNNNNNNNNNNNNNNNNNNNNNNNNCUGGAUCUGCAGCGUUGAAGCCCAAAUCAUUGGUUGAAUCUGUAAUUGACUGAAGUCGAUCUUUUCAAUAGAAAUCAAAUGAACACCGCACAAUACGGGACAACAAAAACGUCGCACAAGACGACGAACAAUACAACGCCGCACUCAGAGGGCGAAAUCACAAAAAAGAAAACACAAAAGAAAAACUUGAUCAAUGUGAAGAUCACUUAUUUAAAUAAAGAAGAAAAGGAAAAACAAUUAUGAGGGGUGAUUUUGGGUCAAAAAUUGACCCUAAAACCACCCCUCCUUGAUAGAUCAAGAAAGAAAAAAAAAUUAGGUUAAGGGAGGCGGCGGCUAUGAAGAAAAUGAGAAGAAAAAGUUCUGUAGUCAUAUACUAUAAGCAAACUUAUUGUGUUUUCCAAAUAUACCAUUAAUGUAAAUGAUCUUUUUAGUGAAGGAAUAUUUAUUAUUGUGAAUGUUAAUGCACAUUCUUCUUGUUGUUUUUGUGAUCCUUAUAAUUAACUCUACGUGUCUCUACCCCUUCUUUUUACCAAAAAAAAAAUGUUCACUAUGUAUAAAUAGAGAAUUUGGUUUAUGGUGGUGAGUAGUAAGUUAUGAUGGUGAUGUGUCUUAAUUAUAAUUUAGUUUCAUAUGAGGACCCCAAAGAUAAUUAAUGUAAAUUACAAAAGCUGAUGAAACAAUUGGGGGAAGUGGUGAAUGGUCCUCAAUGUGUUUAGAUUUUGAUGAUGAUAAAUAGUAUUGGGAGAGUGUGAUGGAGUUUAAUGAGAUGUUGGGAGAGAUUGAUCCUCAUAAAUAAAAUAAUUAUUGCUCUGUUUUCUCUUGAAAAAACAAAGAGUUAUUGCAUGUGUGUUAUGUGUUCUGUUUUUGUGUGUUUAGGCUUUUUCAUUUGUAUGGCUUUUUGGUGCAUAACAUUAAUUUGUGGGACAAAAAUACUGUACUGUAUACCGUAACAUGUUCUCUCUCUACACUAACGAUAUGGAAUUCAAAAUAUGCAAAAAAAUAUUUUUUAAAAAAGAUGUAUAAUUAUUACUCAAUUUGUUAGAUAAUUGUGUUUGAAUAAUAUUUUUGUUUUUUCACAACUCAAUUUAGUUUGUAGCAUUUUGAAAAAGUUGACAUUGUUGAAUAAAUAAUAAAACGUGAAUGUACAAAAUAAUAAAAACAAAUGGUGACUUUUAUUGGAUUGUUGCAAUGGUCUAAUUUUGGUUUUGUUAUAAGAAAAAUGCUAAAUAAUGUCCUGGGGCAAUAGUUAACCAUAUUAAAAAGAAAAUUAUGUCUUGGAACUUGUGCAUUCAAUAUUUAAAAAUGGAAAAAGUUAUUUUAUCAACAUUAAAUUUAUCUUUUAUUUCCUAUCUUAGUAUGCUUAACAAGUGUUCGAGGUACUGUUUAGCAUGACCCUUGUUAUAAAUAGUAAAUAUAAGAACGUCCAUGUGUUACAAUAGUUACAUAUAGUAUGAACGUAAAUAUAAUUUGGUUAGCAAGCUUUUUUUUUUGUUUAUAACUCUUUGAUUUCUAGAGAAAGGGACUUUAGUAGUCCAGAGUUCUGGUGGGCAAGCUUUUAUAAUUAUAAGAUAGUUUAAUUAUAAACUAGUUUCCAUUAAAAGAGAAAAAAAUAAUUAAGCAAAUAUCAGGUAGUAGAAAAAAAUAAGGGUGUCAAAAAGAAUUUCCAUAAAAAGUGCUGUUAGAACUUUAAUAGACCUUGAUUGGGCCUGCCUUCAAGACCCAAAACUAUGAGAGUAUUUUUGCUUACACUCCUGUACUUCUUGCGCCCUUCUCAUAUUCAUUUUUACCAAUAUGUUAUUUUAGUAGCAGAUAUUAUAAAAAGGGUCUUGCUAACCAGUGCCUCCGGGGCACUAGUUAAGGAACCAAAAGAAGAAAUAAAAUAAAAGUUGUGCAUGGAAAACAUCAAAAUAUAGACUUUUGUUGUAUUGACUACACAAUUUCCAAGUAAAACUUUCUAAAUUUGAAUUCUUAACGAGUGCUCUUGAAGCACUAUUUAGCAUUUGCCUUAUAAAAAUCAGAAAAAAGAUCUUUUGACAAAUUUAUGUGUCAAAGUUUGAAGCCUCAACUUUAAAUAAAUACAUUAAGGAGUAAUAUAUCAGUAUAAAAAUAUCUUUUAAAUAUUAUAUUUAUAUUAAAUAAGUGAUUAGUCGCUUAUUAUUGACUUUUACAUAUAAAAUAAUUAUUUAAGAGAAAAGAUUUCACUUGCAUCUCCUACAGGUUGCUCACCAUGAAGUUGGAAAUUUUGUAAUUAAAAAAUAGUAAUAAAAAGAAAGUUAUUGAUAUUUUUAGGGUCCGUUUGGUGCACAUGAUAGGAUAGAGAUAGGAUAGGACAAUAAGUUGGAUAAAGAUAGGAUAUGAUAUUGACAUGAUAACACAUAUCAUGUCAUGUGUUUAGGAUAAGAAAGAUGAUAUCAUUAUUUUAUCAUAUCCUAUGUUUGGUACACACUUGAUACUGACAUGAUAAGAUACAUGUUUAUUUAAAUGAAAACAUUAUUCUUAUAAAACACAUACAUUUUUUUAUUAAAAAAAAAACAAUUUUAUAUUUUCAAAUUUCAUUUGAAAUAAUUGUAAAAAAAACACAUAAAAAAACAUAAAAUAAUAAGAACAUAUCAAUUAAUAUUUUUUAAAACAAUUAAAACAAGUAGAUAAAGAUUAGUAUACAGUGAGGAACUCCGUCAAAAAAAAAAAAAGUAUGCAGUGAAGAAUCAAGCAACAGGUAUACAUCCAUAUUAAUAUGUAUUAGUAAGAUAUAUUAAUAAAUAAAUUAUAUAUACCGCAAGAUAUGUACAAAAAAAAUAACGAAUGGAAAAUCAUGAAAAUGCAUCCGGCGGGAAUCAAAGUGAGGGACAAUGAGAUAUGAUUAGUAUAUCCUAUCAGGUUGCUAACCCAACUAAAAUUCAGGAUAAGAAUUAUAACUAGAGAGACAGGAUAAGAUAAGCUUCAGGAUUAACUUAUCAUAUCCUGUCGUGUCACCAAACACUAGAUUGAGACAGGAUAUGAUACAGUUAUCCUAUCCUGUCUCUUAUCCUGUGCACCAAACGGGCCCUUAAUAUUUUUCUAUGGGUGAGUAUAGAAUUUUUAACCUCUUUAUCGCUUAAUUCCUUAACUCAUUCAUCUUAACCAUAAAAUCAUUCUUAUAAACCCUUCAUAGAAGAGAUGUUGGAGAUAAAAUGAAAAAUAUACUAUAAUAGAAUUCGAUGGUUCUACUUCUGUCAAAAAAGAGUAGAUGGUUAAUUGAUUAAUGGUAAAAAAAUAAAAUCAUUUAUGUUUAUAAGUUUUUGUUAAGUGAAAAUCAUUGAUAAGUUUAAUAAUAAAUAUAGAUAUAGGAUGACUUGAAUUGACUAAUUUAAAUUUAUUUGCCUAUAUAAAUAUAAAUUUUGUUAAAUGAAUAGAGGAGUGCUAGCAACACACUCUUUAAUAAACAGACUCUAACACACUCUCUUAUAUUGGUUAAAAUUUAUAUGGGUCCCAUAAAAGUUAUAUGAGUCCACAUUUUUUUGUGGGACCCAUGUGAAUUUCAACCGAUAAAAAAGAGUGUGUUGGAGUGUGUUUGUUAAAGAGUGUGUUGCUAGAUUAUUCUAAUAUCGAAUACACUUACAAUCAUUAAAUACCUUUUUUUACAUAAUGUUUAAUCAUAUAAUUGUGAUAAAACUCAACUUUUUUUUUAAAUAUCUUUUAAUAUUACAAUUUUUUUGUUACAUGUUAGGCUAACUAGACCCGUGCACCACACGGGUCGAAAUUCUAGUUUAACUUAUUUUCAUAAGCUUUUUAAUUUAAUUUUUUUUACGCACUUUAAUAUAACUUUAUACUCCCUCCGGACAUAAAUAUAACGAAAAAAAACUUCAAAUUUUGGUCACUAUUAUAAGCAAAAAUUAACUACUUUUAAACUAAUUAAUACUAUUAUUCCUAAUAUACCCUUAUUUAUUUUUAUUUUAUUUUAGGCAUUAAUUUCACUUUUACACUUUUCAAAAUGGGUAAUAUAGUAAACUUAACUUAUAUUUUGCAUUAAAUCAAAAAAAUUAACUACACUUAACUAAAUUUUUUAAACACCGCGUAUACAGUUUUUUUUGCUUAUAUUUGUAUCCAGAGGAAAUAUACCGGUACAAUUUAUGAAUGCAUUACUAUUUAUGAAUCUAUCACAAUUAUCCACGUCAGCAAUUAUACUAGGUAUUUGGAUUAUCUCCUUUCUAUUUAUCUACAAUUCUCUCUUCUUUUUCUUUUAUGUGUCUUUCUCUCUCAUUUUUUUUCUCUCUUCAUCACUUAUUUAUUUUUUAUUUAUCUCUGCACACAAAGAAAAAGAAAAGAGAAUUAGAGAAGAAAAAAAAAACCAGAGAAUCCAAAUCGGGAUACUAGUAAACAUUAAAUAAAGAGUGUUGCUAAAUGGUACGAAGGAAAGUGGCAACGAAAGGCAAGAAAUGUACAGGUGGGGCAUUGUUAAGAACUCAAAACUAUAAUCUCCUUGUUUCAAGGAAAUCAUGCGAUGCGCGGAUUUGAAAUCAACACACCAGAAUCAUUCUUAUCUUUCGUUACUUGCUAAUUCGUUUCAUCCAGCAUUAUUCAUAUAAUUGUGUUUUAAAGAAUUUACGAUUUAUUUAUGUAAAAAAUAGUCAAUAGUCAAUUUAUAACAUACCACGUGUCCUAAUUUACACGUGGCUUGGCUAUUAUGCACACAUGGGUAUGUCCGCCUCUUAUAUCAUGCCACGUCAACAAAUAGCGUCAUUUAGGUGUUAAGCAAAGGUGACGAUUACUUCACUGAAAAGAGAAGCAAUUAAACAAUGCCACGUGACCCAGACGUAGCAGUAACGAAACCGUAUACCUUCGUGAAAGGAAAAAAAAAAUAUCGUUAAUUGGUUCAGUGAUUGACGCUGAACUUGGUAGGGAGGACCGCGGUUCGAUUCUCUCAACUGCAAUUGAAAAAGUGUUGAACCACUUGAUGUCAGAACUAAACUAACACUCGAACCAGAUUCAAGUAGUGGUAAAAAAAAUAAAAAAAACUUAGCUAUUUAUUUUAUUUUUUUCUCUUUAGAAACUUAGCUAAUUUAAUAAUGAAGCGGAAUUGAUUCAUUGAAACUGGAUACUACCACCAUCAUUUUUCCCCCUAUAUAUAAUCAAUCAGUCACGUGCUAUAGCAGUUGUUGAACCGAAACCGAAGAAUAGAGAAAGAAACAAAGACAGAUGAAAAUGGAGAAUUAUCAGAUCUGGAGCAAGAUUGUGUUAGCGUCGUUUGCGAUUUCUCUUCUAUCCCUAUCCGUCUCAGCAGACGACGUCGUUAUCCUCACUGAAGAUAACUUCGAGAAGGAAGUUGGUCAAGACAAAGGAGCUCUCGUUGAGUUCUACGCCCCUUGGUAACUUUCUCUAUGACUCGAUCCAUUUCCAUGUAUCACACUUCCAUUUUUACCUUAGUUUUUCAUGCUGCUCAAAUUAUUACUGUAUCAUUCUUGAUUUGCAUCGAGUUUUUAUUCAGAUUUGCUUCGAUCCGAUGUGUUUUUUGCUUUCAUAUUGUAGUUUUAUGAUCUGUUGGUUGAUUUACAGUUAUGAUUUAUUGUAGAUUAUACGAUGCCGUUUUGGCUUUUGAUGCAAUUCAGUUCAACUGGAUUCAGUUUAGAUCAUGGUCUUCUAGUUUGUUAAUUAGAGAAAUACUAAGCUCUUGAAGAAAUAAUUUAGAUCAUUAAAUUAAGGUGAUUGUGAUUAUUUGAUUUAAUUACUAAUAAUAUAACUCAGGUUUUUAAUUCCUUCUAUCAAAUGAUUAGAUGAUAAUAUCCCUCAGUUUGAAACUAGAGGGACUAAAAUCUGCAAUUAAGCUCACUAUAACUUAUAAAGAGAAGUUAUAACCAAAAGUAACCAUGUUAUACUACAUACUAAGCCUCUGUGAUUUGGUCUGCAUAAAAUAAAUAGGUUGAUAACUAAUCAGAUCCUUCAUAGUUUAUACUUUAUGGUCCUAAAGAUUAUUUGUCUUGAUGUUAAUUUUGUUAGUUGAAUAUAGGCUAUUUUAUUAGAAUGAAGGAAACAUCUAGGCUAUUUGAUUUUUAUUCUUUGAUUCGUUUGAUACCAUUUUAAGCUUCACGAGUACGAAGCAGAACUUUAAUUAAUUAUACUCACAACUAAGUAGUUUGCCUUUGUAUUUGUAAUGUACAGUAAGUGUUGUAAUUUCAUGCUAGGCAAAGAAAACUUUUUGAAGCGUUAUUGGCCGUGUAAUAACUUAUUAUGCUGUAAAUAAGAUGCACAGUUAACUUAUAAUAGUGUUCCGUUUUAUCUGUCAUAAUAGGUGUGGACACUGCAAAAAGCUUGCUCCGGAAUAUGAAAAGCUUGGUAACAGCUUCAAGAAAUCAAAAUCUGUUUUAAUUGCCAAGGUAAGCUCCCUGGUUUUUCUCUGCAUUUAUACCUUUGAUUUUUGUUCAUAGUUUGUCUGUUACCUUAGUAGUAAAAUGUUUUGCUCUAUUACGGGGCAUGUUGGUGUUGUAUACUUGUCUUCAUAACCGAAGUUGGGAAUUCUUGUUCUCCAUUGUUUACUCUUUACAUAUUUAAAAUGAUAUCUCCUACAAUCCGUAUAUAUGUAUAUUAUGAUGUUGGUAGUAAUUUUAAGUUAGAGGGGGAGGUGGGAGGGAUUGAUCAUCCUUGGGAAGUUAUAUUCUUCACCAAUUUUCCUCAUAACCUUUGAACUUUGUGGUUUCUUUUUGACCUUUCUCAUUGAUGAUUUAAUUAGUACUCUGCACAUAUGGUGAAACUUACUUAUUAAUGUGCUAUAGGUGGACUGUGAUGAGCAUAAGACUGUGUGCAGCAAAUAUGAAGUCUCUGGGUACCCAACGAUUCAGUGGUUUCCAAAGGGAUCUCUGAAACCCAAAAAGUGAGAAGACCUUAACAUUUUAAAAAAUAAAUUAUGAUUUUAUAUCUCAGCUCAUUGUUACUUGUCCUGCAUUUUCACCUCUAUAUAUUGGCAUCUAAUACUUGAUUUUGGAAAAUUCCUGUAGGUUCGAAGGGCCACGCACUGCAGAAUCACUUGCCGAGUUUGUAAAUACAGAAGGAGGUACUAUUUGUAGUUACAAAGCUAGCUGUUGUUGUAAAUGAAUAUCUAUGAAACAAAAACAUUCAGAUAUUAACAUUGUAUAACUUCUAAGUAAACAUAGUGCCUCCCCUCGGAGAUAUAAAAGAGAGCCAUCCUGUAGCAUCAUAUCUUUUUUUAAAGUAUUUUAAUGUAGGGUCGAGUUUAUUGAUAGAGUUUUAGGUUUCAUGUCCUAAAUCAUCAAAAUCUGCACAUUUUAGAUUUUUUUUAGUUUCUAUGGUGGUGUUGAGCAUACACUUGAGCAUGGUUUGCUUUUCCCCUUUUCUUCUGCUGUGUACUUUAUUUGCAUUUGUAUUAUUGUAGUGGAUUUUCUAAACAGAGGUUUUGACUUACAGGAACCAAUGUAAAGAUUGCUGCAGCCCCAUCUCAUGUAGUGGUGCUAACACCUGAAACCUUCAACGAAGUUGUCUUGGAUGAAACCAAAGAUGUCUUGGUUGAAUUUUAUGCACCAUGGUACUGACCAAUAAUUUUCAGAUUGUCACUUCUAAUCUUUAAUUUUAAUUUUUUUUUUGCGUUAAAAUUUUGUAUGUUAGUAAUAUUUCAGUAUCAUUCAUUCAUUGAAUGUUUGUGAAAAAUCUCAAUUACUGCUAUACCUUAUUAACUUUUGUUAUUUUGCCAGGUGUGGACAUUGCAAAAGUCUUGCUCCUGUAAGUUGAUAUCUUUGCAGUUUCCUUUUUAUCAAUUUAAAGUUGAUGCGUUUAUUUUUUUAAAGAGCUAUGCUUAACUUGGCUAUGUUCUUUUGCCCUUCAGAUUUAUGAAAAAGUUGCUGCAGCUUUUAAAUCGGAGGACGAAGUAGUGAUUGCAAAUUUGGAUGCCGACAAAUAUAGGGAUUUGGCUGAAAAGUAAGUUUUAGUUGCCUAAUAUUAAAAGGAAUUAAUUUUUUAUCCGAAUGAAUCAAACUUAAGAAGUGGAGUCCAAUAGAAGUGAAAUUGUUUGGGGCCUACUAGACCAAUAUGCAUGUUGCGUGAUGUGGUUGGAUCUAUUAAUCUUUUACCUACUCAUAUGAUAUUACAUAAUUAAAGUAUGCAAUUAUACUGAUUUACAAGAAAAAAGCGGCGGCCAGUGAAGAUUUGGAGGUUGGAGACUGGGAGAGUAAAAUAUCAUAGAUAAUUAUAGAUUUAUGGAAUAACUUUUUAUGCAGGUAUGAUGUGAGUGGCUUUCCUACCUUGAAGUUCUUCCCUAAGGGAAAUAAAGCCGGUGAAGAUUACGGAGGUGGAAGAGACUUAGAUGACUUUGUUGCUUUUAUCAAUGAGAAAUCUGGAACAAGUCGAGAUGCAAAAGGACAGCUUACUUCUGAGGUUAGUGAAUUCAGAUCAAAGAGAAGCUGUUAUAAAAAAUUUGUGGCAGUGGACAUGGUUGUUUUGGGGGGAUAAAAAGGUCAAAUUGUUGCAUUUAACAUUGUGCUCACACUUGAUAUUUCUGCAUAGGCUGGUAUAGUAGAAGACUUGGACGUUUUGGUGAAGGAGUUUGUAGCUGCUGAUGGCGAAGAGAAGAAGGCCGUAUUUGCCAAAAUAGAAGAGGAAGCUGGGAAGCUUAAGGGCUCUUCUUCUAGGUAAUGUAACAUCACCCCUUUCAGAUUAUUGUCAUGGUUAAUUGCUUGAAAAUUGUGCCCCUAUAGAAUAACUUAAUUCGUGCUGCGUAUACUUUAUGGUACUUGACCCAGUUGUGUUGCUUAAAGCAAAAAAACUAUAGGCGAUAAUGCAACUAUUUUUUUUCUUCCUUUAGAUACGGAAAGAUUUACGUGAAAGCUGCCAAGAAUUACUUGGCGAAAGGUUCUGAUUAUGCUAAGAAUGAAAUUCAGCGCCUAGAGCGCAUACUUGAGAAGGUAAUGUUCUCUUUGCAAAGCAAACCGUUACGUUUCACUUAAUGCAUAAAAUAAUUAGCAUGGUAUACAUUUUAACUUUUUGGUCCUUAAAAGGAGAUUAAGAAGUGUACAAAUUGUUGUAAACAACAUAAUUGUGGCACUCAUUAUCUGUGAUAAUUGAUGCAGUCCAUCAGCCCUGCUAAGGCCGACGAGUUCACUCUAAAGAAAAACAUCUUGUCGACAUAUGCUUGAUUUAAUGGCGCAAAUUCUACCCUCUGUUCUGGAAGCUAGCGUCCCACAGUAGCUCCUUUUGAUGAUUGUUUGACAUUAACAACGAAAUUGCUCGGAGAUUUGCAACGUGGAGACUUGUACUUAAUCUGAUCUGUUUUAAUGAUCCUAUACUAUAGAACAAUUUUGGGGCAAUGAUGAUUAUUCUUUGCCCCAUUGUAGUUUAACUGAGAUCGGUUUUGGGAAGGACGAAAACUUUUACAAUCUGUUUCUUUUGUUGGUUUUUGGUAUCAACUUAUCACACGAAGAUGGUUAAUAUUACAUGACAACAACAAUGAUACAAGACGAUGAUAGUUUUGUCAAAACAAUAAAAUAAAGACAAUGAUGAUAGUUAAUUCAUGAUAAGUAGCCAUAAUUUGCAUUAGGUCUAGAUAUCAAAUUUCUUUGGUCGCAAUUUGAAAUUUGUAUCUCUUGGAUAUCUCUUAUAAUUUCUGGUAGCCUGGUAGAAGAGUGUACGCGAGUAGAUUUUUUAAUGUGGGAAUUUAAUAGUAAAGUUGAAGAGUUUCUAAAGUGUUAAAAAUAUGUUAAACAUAACUAAAUAGACAGUUUUAAUCAAUCAUAUGAUAGUUAUACGUAUAUGACUUGAAGUUUUAUUGUAGCGCACUCCUUAUGCAGGAGAAGAUAACGUAAAGGAGUGGAUUUUUAAAUGUGACAAUUCAAUAAUAAGUCAUCUUGUUUGUUUGGUUCCACAUUCAAGAGCCUCGUGCGCACAUUCAAAUGAUCAAACGUGAUUUCAAAUUUUGAAUGAGACACAAGAAUGUUUGGAUAUGAUUUUAUAGUGAUUCAAUCUAUUGGAAUUGAUUCCACUUAAAGCAGCAUUUCCUAACUUUCGCAAUUAACCGUAACAAUAGAUUAUUAUGUAUCAAAUCAAGAUGAUUUAUUAACUUUGCCCCAACACAAUGACUAUUUUAAUUAUUAACUAUGAAGAUUACGUGCAACUCAUUUUUAAUCAAAAUACAUUUCAUCAACUAAUCAUUAGUUGGUUAAGUGGUGAUUAGCGUUGAACUUGGUAGGGAGGACUACGGUUUGAUCCCCGCAACUGCGAUCGAGAGGGGGCUGAAACCACUUAAUGUCAGAACUGAUCCUGAACUAGAUUAAACUGGUUGUGAAAGUGUAAAAAAAAAAAAAUUAUCAAAUUAAAAUCUCACCGCCUAAGCACCAACAGUUGAACAUAGUUGUAACUUAUAAGCAAUAAUAUGACACUUAAAUGAACUGUUGUAGUUAAUAGUUAUAUUCUGAUCAAUAGUUUGUAACUUGUAAUGCUUUAACAUGGUUGAUUUUUUUUUUCUCUCUCUCUCUUUGCUCAGUUAUUCUUUGGGUCAUAUUGAUCUUGCUUUUUCUAAUAUAUGCAUAACUAAUUAAUGAGGAAACUUAGAAUUAAGCACAAGAAUGCUCAAGACAAUUGUUUUGCUGAUUCCUAUACCUAUGAUAUGCAUGGGAUAGUUCUAUACCAAACAAAUGCAAAAUAUCACCAUCUCUUGGUUUUUUUGGUCACAGAAUCCCCCCUAUAGCUGAUGCAUUUUGAUUUUUCAUGGAUUUUCAUGAUUAAUGAAGAAUGUAAUAAUUUGGGAUUGGGAAAGAGCUCUAUUUAAGAAUGCACAGGGUUUGAUCUUUCUUCCUUUCCAUUUCAUUUAAUAGAGGUGAUUAUAUGAAGUGUUGAGAUAGAUCAUGCUAAUAGAGGUGUUAUCUUCAGUGGCAUUGUUCUGUGCAAAUAUGCAGAAUACUAGAAAAUUGGUGGGUCAGAUACGUAAAUAAUUGAACGAACCUAAAAAGUAUGAAGUAUAAAGGGACAUUUUUUGACAAGAAAUGUUAGUCUUGAUGUCAAAAUAUUAGCUUUCAAAAUUCAAACAGUAUUUUAUCGGUGUGUUCAUCUUCAUCAUACAAGGUAAACCUCAAAUUAAUAUGUUUUGUUGUUUGUUGAGCUUUUGAGUUUUGUAUUUGUUAUAUCUUAUCAAUUUUUUAUGCUUUUGAAUAUGGUAUAGCUUUGUUGUGCUUUUGAGUUUGUUAUAGUAGCUUGUUUAUGCUUUUGACACUGUUGUCAGUGUUGUUUAUGAUUCUUUAAAUUGUAUUGAAUUUGAAGAAUGAGUUUGUGGGAAUAUUUACUUGAGAAGAUAAAUAAUGCCAUGGUGGGAGGACAUAUUCCUCCAAUAAGAUUAAAUUCUAGACAUUUCCUUUUGGUCAUAACUCACACAUGCAAACCGUUUCACAUCAGAGACUAUUUUUCUAUUUGUGCAUGUCAUCCUUGCACAUGGGCCAUGCUAAUCUUCGCUGUAUCGUUUCACAUCAGAGACUAACAAACUCCUCCCAAUGAGUUAAUAACUAACCUCCAGAAUCUACUGAUUUCGGACUCAUAUCUAAGACUCUGCAAGGCUUAUUGUCAUGGUUAAACUCAGUUUCCGGAAUACUUAUCGGCGAACACUCUUCAAUUUGAUAAUCUCUCUCGUCAACCAAAGAUUUCAUAUAUGAGCAUGGUCUUUCCUCGGGAUCAAUAUUAGGAGGCGGCUCUUGACCGGAACCAAAUGGCAGCUCCAAAGAUGUAGAGCCAGGAGGAUGUGUUCUCAUCUGCACGGAUCUUAAAAGUGCAGCUCUUCUUAAGUCAGCUGAGUGGCAUAUAUCACUUGGUGAUGAUGGGAAGCGGCCAUCGGAGUCUGAGCUUCGCUGACGAGGCUGAGAACAAGCAGAGACUGGAAAGCCAUGAGAAGCAUUUAAACUUGUUGAAGGCCCUGAAGAAAAUGCGUUUUGUGAUCGUUGGUACCUGCAUGGAGAAACUGGACUACUAGGACGGCUAUCUGGAUUGGAUGAGCAACUAUGCACCGCGGUCUCGCAAAACCUUGAGUCAUCUGAAUCUUCUGACAUCGGUGAAUAUUGUAAAGACAUAUCAUCCCUAAAAAUAAGUUAAACAAAAUAAAUCACCUGAGAUAGGUUCGGUAAGCACCAGGAAAAUAGGAUACUAAGUAAACUAUCCAAAACCCGAAUCGUGUUUAUCAUACAAUAUGAGUAAAAGUAUAAAACCAUAAAAAUGUGUGUAAGGAAAUACAUAUAUAACCAUACACAUAAGGGCUGGGAAUGUAACAAAAAUUUGAACACAAGAAAUAGUAAAUACAAUGAGUUAACAACACAAAUACUUCUUACCAUAGAUGUAGCUUCAUAUGAAUUCUUUUGAAGUUAUUUAUUUGUAAAUAGAGUUUAAAUCGUAUGAAGACUGGAAAAAUGCUUGUGGUGUGUAAAAAUGACCGUAAGAGAAAUCAAGCACCGUGCUUUUGGUUGACUCUAGACUUCCCAAGAAAACAUUUCUAUUGUUGCUUUUAACAAACUUUUUAUGCUAAUAUGUUCUACAAGUCUGGUGGAGUAUACAGUCCCUAUGGCUGGAAAGUAAAUGGCCCUGAAGUCUAGUUCCUACUCAUCGUUGCGUCCUACUUUUAUAUCAAAUAGUCGAAAUAAAGGGCUAAAAAGCCACACUACCAAAAGGUAGAGAUUGAACAUGAACGUAGUGGAAUUUCUACGGUCUACAUGACUACUUAUUACUCUGUGUUAUGACAGCCAAAACUACUACAUUUGAAAGGUUGAAAUAGUUGAGUUAUAGAGCAUAUAAGGCUAUACGAUAGAUUCACUUGAGAGAACGAUGCACUGAUGACGAAUGAAUAUCUUAAAUAGUAUGAGUAUGAUGCGCAAAUAAAGACCUCAUACCUACUUCAGGGUUUGAAGUUUGUUGCCAACAAAAUCAUGGAUAAAAUUUUGUGGUCAUCUUUCAUUUUGGAAUACCAAAGGGAUCAUCAUUCACAACACUUAUGGAUUCAAAAGUGCAAAACUAUAAGCCAAACUAUUACGAAAGAUUACGAGUUAAAUUAUACGAAGCUAGCUCGCAAAUUGCACAUGUCUNNNNNNNNNNNNNNNNNNNNNNNNNNNNNNNNNNNNNNNNNNNNNNNNNNNNNNNNNNNNNNNNNNNNNNNNNNNNNNNNNNNNNNNNNNNNNNNNNNNNNNNNNNNNNNNNNNNNNNNNNNNNNNNNNNNNNNNNNNNNNNNNNNNNNNNNNNNNNNNNNNNNNNNNNNNNNNNNNNNNNNNNNNNNNNNNNNNNNNNNNNNNNNNNNNNNNNNNNNNNNNNNNNNNNNNNNNNNNNNNNNNNNNNNNNNNNNNNNNNNNNNNNNNNNNNNNNNNNNNNNNNNNNNNNNNNNNNNNNNNNNNNNNNNNNNNNNNNNNNNNNNNNNNNNNNNNNNNNNNNNNNNNNNNNNNNNNNNNNNNNNNNNNNNNNNNNNNNNNNNNNNNNNNNNNNNNNNNNNNNNNNNNNNNNNNNNNNNNNNNNNNNNNNNNNNNNNNNNNNNNNNNNNNNNNNNNNNNNNNNNNNNNNNNNNNNNNNNNNNNNNNNNNNNNNUUUGUGGUCAUCUUUCAUUUUGGAAUACCAAAGGGAUCAUCAUUCACAACACUUAUGGAUUCAAAAGUGCAAAACUAUAAGCCAAACUACUAAAGCAAUGUAAUACUUAUAGAACAUACGUAGCCGCGAUCUUACCUGAGAGAGAACGCACUUUCCGACCUUGCUGGAGAUUCCAUGAGAUUAUCAGGAAGUGUGUCUCCAACUGUCAAUCCAUUAAGACUAGAUGCCAUUAUCUGGAAAGUAAAACAAAAAAUUAAGCAACUCUAAUUCAAAGCCUAUAAUAACCAACUUCAUUUCCUUAUACCUAUAAACAAAUCAUACAUAAAAAUUUAAAAUCAUCUAAUACCAAAUUAAACAAAAAUCUAAAUGAUCAAAACAAGCAUCUCCAUCAAACAAAAAACACCUUCUUGAAUAGUGUUUCACCUCAGUUAUCCAAACAAUGUAGUGUCUCAUUUACAAAAUGCCCUCAAACCAAGUUUCAAUUUUGAACAAUAAUCUACAAUCUAUUCAAAACCAAAUAUUCAUAAAAUUAAUAUUGCUAUUUCUCCACAGCAUAAUAAUAAUAACUUCUAAAGAUCACAAAGAUACGAAUAUUAAAACAAACAAUAAAUAUGUACCAAAAAAAAUAAAACAAGCAAUAAAUUCAAAACACCAAAACAUUGUUAAAAAAAUAAAACCAAAACAUGAAGAAGAACUGAAACCUAGAAACUAAAAAAACUAAAAAAAAUUGGAAGUUAUGUGAAGGUUAAAUAUUUUAAAAUAAAAUAUGAAAAAACGACAAUAAUAAGACAAAAAAACAAAGACAAAAGGUAAAUGAGACAAACAACUAUGUUUAACCUCGCUUAGGUAACGUUUGUGAGAACGAAGAUUGUCGACAUAAACUUCUUCUUCAGGGUCUCUAGUGCGUUUAGCACUAGGUGAAGAGGAAGAUGGUGACCCACCCAAAUUCGAAUCGAAACCCAUUGUUGGAUUCAACGCAAAGAAUUUUCUUUGAGGUAAAAAAGGGUUAUUCAAUGUUGCGAUUUUUGAGCAAAAAGUGAAGGUUUGGAGUUUGUUCUGUCUUCCGCCAUGAAUGAAAACACAGAGUGAAACGUGGAGCUGUAUCUGAGUUUUUUUUUUGUGUGUGCUGAAAAUACGAUUGGAGUGUAGUGUAGCAUGUUUUCAUUAAUGUGGUUUAUGAUGGUAGAUCCACUCUUAGUGAUGGACACGUGUUUUGUCUUUGUCAUCACUAAUUUAGUCAUUCGCGGUUCGAGAAAGAAUUACGGUUUAGGUUUGAACGGUUUAGGUUUGAGAGAAAGAUGAAAGAGAAACUAUAGAUAAGAUAAGAUAAGAUGAUAGAGAUGGACGACAAAAGUAAUUUGAUUUUCUCGACUUAAAGGUAGUUAAUCUCGAAUUCGGCCUGUUGGACAUUUUGUUAUAAGGAUUACCUACAAUACUUAUGGUUCGUUUGAUCUGCAAAAUAUAAAUACUGGACAGAACAGUACAUGACAGUACAAGACAGAACAACACAAGACAAAUGUUUAAAGUAUUGAACAAACUUUGUGUUGUAUGAUGUUUGGUGGACAAAAGGUUAUUUUGGUAUUUUAGACAAUUUGUGCUGAGGACAAAAAGUUGUCUCGUGGUUCUGUGGGGGACAAGAAUUUCAAGUUUUGUCCUGUCCCUUGGCCACCUGUUUGUCCAGUACCAGAAAGAGUUCUAAAAUCAAACACAGCACAGUUGUCCUGUCCAGUCCAUUAUUUUUUAGCAGAUCAAACGCACCCUUAGACUUGUACCGGAUGGGUUACUACAUCACACUGUUACUCAUCUUAGCUUAUGAUUUGGAAUUGACAGACAAGAUUGUUUGCAAAUGAAUUUGUUAGUGGAUAAUUUAAAUUGUUGUCUGGUUGUAAUUAAUUAAUAGUUGAGAUAUAAAAUGGUGUAUUGUUUUUACUUUUUACGGACGAUAAUUUGGGUUCACGUAAUGCGAAUAUAAUUUUUCUAUUGUAUUUGUAGAUGAUUACAUUUAUAUGCGGUUGAGGAUUUAGACCACUGUUUAAUUUUUUAUUUCUCCUCUUCAAAGAAAUUAGAUUAAAUUGAUUUUUUUACAAAAAAUAAAAGAGAUUAUCUUUUAUGUAUAAAUUAGAAUUGAAGAACCAACAAGGUUUUGGGUAUAACAAAUAUGUUAAGCCUCUACAACGUGGUGCAUCAUGAUUCUUGUUGGGAGAAGUGCUUACAUUUAGUAUCUCACAUUUCUCAAAUAAAAAUACUUUUAAUGAGAGAGAGUGCAUUUUUCAAUGUCAUACUAUUAAUUUGAGAAUACACUUACAAUAGCAAAGCAAAAUGAAAAAUAAUAAUUUUUUAUUAGAUACCCGUGUAAAAUGAUUUGACACUAACUGUUUUUAUCUGAAGUAUAUUUUAAAUCUCUCUCUCUAGUUGAAUAAAAAUUAUCGUCCUAGUUGAAUAAAAACUUUGUACGAUUAUGUACCUAAAAAAAAGCUUUAUACGACUAAAUUAAAAAAUUAUGUACAAUACUAGUUGUUUUGGCAAAAGACUCGGUUAUUAU
rnacentral:lncRNA from 1 species